rnacentral:tRNA from 2 species
AGGUUUUUAAUCUAAUUAAGAUAAUUGAUUUCGACUCAAUUAAUCAUGGUUUUACUCCAUGAAUACCUU